AAGUCGUAACAAGGUUUCCGUAGGUGAACCUGCGGAAGGAUCAUUAAUACGUUCUAAACAAACGUUUUAAACUCCAAAAUUUUAAUAGUGGAAAUAUAACUUCCGGAUGCAUUUGUAGGGAGGGGAAGAUUAGACCUUAAAACAGUCUGGUUUUCUCCUUCUUGAAAAGGAAACUUCAUGCACUUUAUUGUGAGUGUGUGACACUUCAGAGUAGAGCAGUGAGGUGAAAAUUCAGCAAUGAGUUUUGGUUCUGAAAUACAUCUGUAUCCGGUUAUUCUCUGUUCUACAACCUUUUAAUUAUCAAACAAUAAACCCCAUGUACAACAACUUGAACUAAACAAUUUUAUUUUCUCUAGCUCUUCGGAGUUGAGAAGAUGAAGUAAAAUCUGAACUUAAGAACAACUCUUAACAACGGAUAUCUUGGUUCUC
rnacentral:misc_RNA from 1 species